UCUCUCUCUCUCUCUCUCUCUGUCUCUUCCUCCCCCCCCCACCAAGUAUUGGCAUUAAAGGUAUGCACACCAUGCCCAGCCGCAGCCAGAGCUUCUCUUUCAAACUGCCCAGAGAAGAUAGACGAAACCAGCGUUCUCGAGCAUGCUGGUGAAUGCCACCCCUAAGCUAAGACAUUUUCAAAGAGGAAAGAAGACUGCUCUUGGGACCAGGAGCAUCUGGCUGGGUGCUCUGGUGUGUGCCUGCCAAGGUGGCUGCUGCAGGUGACUCCUCCCGGGAACAGGUGCCUAGGAGAAGAUGCUUUCUGGGAUGGAUUCUUCCGAUGCUCCUGAGCCUCUGGAGGAGACCUGCUGCCCUUCUGAUCUGUAGCCUUCUGCUCAGCGGCAGUAGCCAGGUGUAUACAAUGGCAGCCUUAGCAAGAAGUAAUGUACUACUGUAGGGGGGGAGACCUUCCGAAGAGCUACUCUUUGAAGUGCUUUUGGUUUUGCUUUGUUUUAAUUUUGUUCUUUAUUCUUUAGUUCCUCAUUUUCUCUGCUUUUGUGACUUUGAAAUGAUCCAAAUCCAUCCUCAGUCUCCUUGGUCCAUUUGGGACUAUCCAUUUGCAUUGAUACCAUCUUCCUGAAGGCUUUUUUUUUUUUUUUAGAUUUAUUUUUAUUUUAUGUAUAUGAGUGUUCUAUCUGCAUUUACACCUGCCAGAAGAGGGAAUCAGUUCACAUUAUACAUGGUUGUGAGCCACCACGUGGUUGCUGGGAAUUGAACUCAUGACCUUUGGAAGAGCAGACAGUGCUCUUAACCACUGAGCCAUCUCUCCAGCCCCUUGAAGGCUUUUUAUAUAUACUUCUGGCAGGCCCUUGUAUUGAACACAAGGAUCAAAUCACUGAGCUGCAUGCAUUUAAAAAGUGUGACAUAUCUCCUUAAAUGGGUACAGGUCUAUCAACCAAAGCCCUGUUCUAAGCAACAAUAUCUAUAAUCACCUUUUUUUUUUUUUUCUGGCAUUGUUUUUGUGGUGGUUUCAAUAGAAAUGGCUCCCAUAGACUCUUGAGUGUGAUUGCUUGAGCCGUAGGGAAUGGCACUCCUAGGAGGUGUGGCUUUGUUGGAGGAAGUAUGUCACUAGGGGUGGGCUUUGCCUUAUAACCUCAAGUCUGACCAGUGAGUCACAGUCUCCUGCUGCCUUCAGAUCCAGAUGAACAACUCUGAGCUCCUUCUCCAGCAUCAUGUCUGCCUACAUGCUUCCAUGUUUUCUACCAUGAUGAAAAUGCACUAAACCUCUGAAACUGUAAGCCAGA